rnacentral:tRNA from 1 species
CAGGGAGACAACAAAAUGUUUAAUAUUAUUAUUUUGUCACCUUAGGUCGAUCGGUAUCUCACGUUUUUAAUUUAUUAAGAAUUUCAUUUCCUAAGUUUUUCUAGGUCACACCCAUUAUUUUUCCUGGGCCAUUAGCUCAGGUGGUUAGAGCGCACCCCUGAUAAGGGUGAGGUCCCUGGUUCAAGUCCAGGAUGGCCCAUAUCUCUAUGUUGGGGGUAUAGCUCAGUUGGUAGAGCGCCUGCUUUGCAAGCAGGAUGUCAGCGGUUCGAGUCCGCUUACCUCCACUGAUUACCACCUCUUCCAUAACCGGUAGAAAGGAAAUGUUUUGAGUUGUGAUCAAAUUCUGAAAGAAUCUAGCUUCCUAAUGAAAUCAUUAAGAUGCUGGACUCAUUGAAUUUAUUUCAUUGUUUUCAGAGAACCUUGACAACUGCAUAGAUUAUUUUAAAGACAAUAAGCAUCUUUAAUGAUGCAGAUUUAUUAUUUGUGCGAAUGCAUUAAUAACAAUUCUAUUAAGCUGAUGCUUCAAUUUUUGAAGUUAUU